rnacentral:rRNA from 1 species
GACGUAGGGGGCCAGCGUUGUUCGGAAUUACUGGGUGUAAAGGGUUCGUAGGCGGUGCGGCAAGUUGGGAGUGAAAUCUCUGGGCUUAACCCAGAGGCUGCUUCCAAAACUGCUGUGCUUGAGUGUGGGAGAGGCGCGUGGAAUUGCAGGUGUAGAGGUGAAAUUCGUAGAUAUUCGCAAGAACACCAGUGGCGAAGGCGGCUCACUGGCCCGGUACUGACGCUGAGGUGCGAAAGCGUGGGGAGCAAACAGG